CACGUAGGGGACGAGCGUUGUCCGGAUUCAUUGGGCGUAAAGCGCGCGUAGGCGGCUCGGAAAGUCGGUCGUGAAAUGCCGGGGCUCAACCCCGGGACUGCGUCCGAUACUUCCGGGCUGGAGGUAGGUAGGGGAGAUCGGAAUUCCUGGUGUAGCGGUGAAAUGCGCAGAUAUCAGGAGGAACACCGGUGGCGAAGGCGGAUCUCUGGGCCUUACCUGACGCUCAGGCGCGAUAGCGUGGGGAUCAAACAGG
rnacentral:rRNA from 1 species